GCUUUCGUCCCCGCCAUGGCUGAGCUAAUCCAGAAGAAGCUCCAGGGAGAGGUGGAGAAAUAUCAACAGCUGCAGAAGGACUUGAGUAUAUCCAUGUCAGGGAAGCAGAAACUAGAGGCACAACUAACAGAGAAUAAUACCGUGAAGGAGGAACUGGCCCUGCUGGAUGGGUCCAACGUGGUGUUUAAACUUCUGGGCCCGGUGCUGGUCAAACAGGAGCUGGGGGAAGCUCGGGCCACAGUGGGGAAAAGGCUGGACUACAUCACAGCUGAGAUUAAGCGAUAUGAAUCCCAGCUCCGGGACCUAGAGCGGCAGAGCCAUAAAAAAGAAUGA